CGUAGGGUGCAAGCGUUGUCCGGAAUUAUUGGGCGUAAAGAGCUCGUAGGCGGUUUGUCGCGUCUGCUGUGAAAACUCAGGGCUUAACCCUGAGCUUGCAGUGGGUACGGGCAGACUAGAGUGCAGUAGGGGAGACUGGAAUUCCUGGUGUAGCGGUGAAAUGCGCAGAUAUCAGGAGGAACACCGGUGGCGAAGGCGGGUCUCUGGGCUGUAACUGACGCUGAGGAGCGAAAGCGUGGGAGCGAACAGGAUU
rnacentral:rRNA from 1 species